CUCUGUCACUGAAGGAAAUUCUGUUUCCUUGUUAUGGUUUGUUCUUACACCGGCUUUAACUGUGUUAUCUGAAAUAUGCAGCAGAUAGAUUGCUUGGCAGCUCACGUAUUCCAGCAUCAUCCCAGGACUGAUGGCAACCUGUGCUACCAUGUGUAUUUGGUUUCCUGCUUUGUGGGAGUCAGUGUUUGUCUCCUUCUUCAGGCUGCUGGAACCUGAUGUGUGGAGCAGAAAUGGUCUUUGAUAACUGCCUGUGUUGCUUUUUGUAGAGUACACGUUGUUAUGUUGACCAGAUUUGGAAACCCUGAAGUACUCUUUGAAUGCAGUGAUGCCUGAAUACUAUUCAUAGGUGAAGAUUAAGGGAGGCGUGUUUAUUUCUCAAUUAAUUUGUUAAUAAGGCUCCAAAAUGAAGAUGGUGUAACAACGCUUAGGAUCUCUGGGCCCAGCUUUGUAUCGCUCAGGGGAGACAUCAAUUCAGUGGGUUGUGUUGUGGGGAUUCUAAUCUGCCCUGCACCCUGUUAUGGCUGUUCCAGGGAUUCAUUAGGGGGAGCACUUGGAGUUUUGCGGCUGUCAGAUUCACCAGGAGUUGAAAGUAUGAGCAUCCCCAGUGAAUUCAGCAGAGUGGGAUCUCAUGGCAGCACGUGGGGCUGGAGUCAUUGGAAAAAAGUUUGGAAUCUCUGUGUUUAAUCUCCUUCCAAGUGAAAGGAUCGCUUGGCCUCCUGCUGCAUUCUUCUCUGCAGUGUGGUUCAAGAAAAUCACUGUCUUCUAGGGUGGAGGGGGAAGCUCCAGAGAUUGUGGAAAAUAACAUAAAACUGUGCUUAAGCCAAGUUAAGUCUGAAGAAGCCUAAUUAGGGUUGUAUACAGCAUACAUGGGAGGGAGAGUGUUCAUGUUCAGGAAAGAAAACAGGAUGCCUCUGCCACAAAUGAAUGAUCAGCAAAUAAUCUGGUUUGAUGGCAGUUAUGCUUCAAACUGAGAAACACGUAGGUAAUUAUUUUUACUGUUUUACUGCAGUCCUGCUCCAAUGAAUAGCACAAAGGUUAAAUAUAUGUCUGAGCAUUUGCAGAAUCCUAGGCUUCAUCUGAGCAUGUUGAUUCCUUAAAGUUACAAAGAUAAGUGGAUGUACAGAGAGCUGGAAAACAGUGGGUUGGUGCAGAGUGAGGAGCAGGUGCUUUUUAAGAAGCAGCGUUCAGGUCAGAGUUCUCAAGUCCUAAGAACGUUCCGCUCCCUAAUUUUAGUAAUGCCAAGCAGUGUCAGCAGGCUGUCCGUUUGUACCCAGGUUACAGAGAAUUUCUCAUUUUCCUAGACAGCAAAACUGAAGGGAGCGCUUCAGCUGAUUCUGACACCUUCAAACCUGGGAGUCAGCAUGGGAAGCGUUGGGUCUGAUUGGGCUGCAGGUUUGGCACCAAGAUUUGUUGCAUCACAAGAAUUGCUGACAGUGCCAGGUUGAAGGAGGAAGACCUCGCUUGU